rnacentral:rRNA from 1 species
AUGGGCGUGGAGGAGGAGGAGGAGGUGAGGGUGGUGGAGUCCAGCCUAGUUGCGGCGAGCGACGAGACACCGCCGAAAAGCCUCUGGCUCUCCCAGCUCGACCUCAAGGCCACUAGACGCCACACGCCACUCCUCUGGUUCUACCGCUCCGGUGAUGGCGUCCAAGCCACCGACGGCUUCUUCAACGUUACCAGGCUAAAGGCCGCUCUGGCCAAGGCCUUGGUGACCUUCUACCCGUUGGCCGGCCGCAUCGGCGAUGACGGUGAUGGCCGGGCGGAGGUCAACUGCGGCAAUCAAGGUGUGCUCUUUGUUGUUGCUCGAUCGGAGGACCUCACCGUUGCUGACUUUCACGGCCGACCAUCGUCCAAGCUAAGGAGGCUCUUUGUUCCCCGCAUGGAGCCGCCAAGCAUCGUCUGCGGCGUCCAACUCACCUUCUUCAAGUGUGGCGGGGUGGCCAUCGGACUGGCGGUGCAUCACUUCGUCGUCGACGGAAGCAGCACUUCCCACUUCACCCGGACGUGGGCUGCCAUUUCCAGGACCGGUGACAUGUCCGCCGUGGAGGCGGAGCCCCCUUGCCACGAUCGCUUCCUCCUCCGUCCCCGCUCCCCGCCGGCGGUCCACCCCGAUGCUCUCUCUGUGUUCUGCCCAAUGGUGAACUUGUGCGAGUCCUCGGGGGUUCCUCUCAGGUCCGAGGCCUUCCUCGUCUCCAAGGACCAGCUCGAGGCUCUUAAGCAGGCAUGCGGUGGCAGAGCCGUCAGCACCUUCUGUGCCCUGACCGCCCAUAUCUGGAAAUGCGUGUCCGCCACUCGGCCCAUGCCGCCGGACGCCACCACACGCCUCACCUUCCCGGUCAGCAUCCGUCGCAAACUGGCGCCGCCGCUCCCGACCGGCUACUUCGGCAACGCGGUCAUACGCGUGGGAGUCACCAGCGAGGUGCGUGGCAUCGUCUCGGAGGAGCUGAGCUCCGUGGCCAGCCGAAUCAAGGGAACCAUCGGGCGGGUCGAUGACGAGCUGGUCUGGUCGGCAAUCGACUACUUCGAGCUGGCGGAGAGGGACAGCCGGCCGGCGCAGGGCAGCUUGCCGACGACUGAGCUGAGGGUGGUCAGUUGGCUUGGCAUGCCGAUCUACGACACGGACUUUGGAUGGGGGAAGCCGGUGAUGAUGAUGCGUGCCGAGUCUGAGCGCGGCGGCCGUGUCUAUAUGAUGGACGGUGACGGAGACGGAGACGGCGACGGCGGCAGCGUGCGCAUCAUCGUGUGUCUCGAGGCAACAAUUAUCAAGGAUUUCCACGACAUGCUAUAUGCCAAGUUUAGUGACCUAAUCCGGUCAUCACUGUGA